GCUCCGCUGACGAGUGGCGAACGGGUGAGUAAUGUAUCGGAACGUACCUUUCAGUGGGGGAUAACGUAGCGAAAGUUACGCUAAUACCGCAUAUUCUGUGCGCAGGAAAGCAGGGGAUCGCAAGACCUUGCGCUGAUUGAGCGGCCGAUAUCAGAUUAGCUAGUUGGUGGGGUAAAAGCUCACCAAGGCGACGAUCUGUAGCGGGUCUGAGAGGAUGAUCCGCCACACUGGAACUGAGACACGGUCCAGACUCCUACGGGAGGCAGCAGUGGGGAAUUUUGGACAAUGGGGGCAACCCUGAUCCAGCCAUGCCGCGUGAGUGAAGAAGGCCUUCGGGUUGUAAAGCUCUUUCGGCCGGGAAAAAAUCGCAUGGGUUAAUACCCUGUGUGGAUGAUGGUACCGGAAUAAGAAGCACCGGCUAACUACGUGCCAGCAGCCGCGGUAAUACGUAGGGUGCGAGCGUUAAUCGGAAUUACUGGGCGUAAAGCGUGCGCAGGCGGUUUUGUAAGACAGGCGUGAAAUCCCCGGGCUCAACCUGGGAACUGCGCUUGUGACUGCAAGGCUAGAGUAUGGCAGAGGGGGGUGGAAUUCCACGUGUAGCAGUGAAAUGCGUAGAGAUGUGGAGGAACACCAAUGGCGAAGGCAGCCCCCUGGGCCAAUACUGACGCUCAUGCACGAAAGCGUGGGUAGCAAACAGGAUUAGAUACCCUGGUAGUCCACGCCCUAAACGAUGUCAACUAGGUGUUGGGAGGGUAAAACCUUUU
rnacentral:rRNA from 1 species